rnacentral:rRNA from 1 species
CGGUACAGGAUGGACCCGCGUCUGAUUAGCUAGUUGGUAAGGUAACGGCUUACCAAGGCGACGAUCAGUAGCCGACCUGAGAGGGUGAUCGGCCACAUUGGAACUGAGACACGGUCCAAACUCCUACGGGAGGCAGCAGUGGGGAAUAUUGCACAAUGGGCGAAAGCCUGAUGCAGCAACGCCGCGUGAGCGAUGAAGGCCUUCGGGUCGUAAAGCUCUGUCCUCAAGGAAGAUAAUGACGGUACUUGAGGAGGAAGCCCCGGCUAACUACGUGCCAGCAGCCGCGGUAAUACGUAGGGGGCUAGCGUUAUCCGGAAUUACUGGGCGUAAAGGGUGCGUAGGUGGUUUCUUAAGUCAGAGGUGAAAGGCUACGGCUCAACCGUAGUAAGCCUUUGAAACUGGGAAACUUGAGUGCAGGAGAGGAGAGUGGAAUUCCUAGUGUAGCGGUGAAAUGCGUAGAUAUUAGGAGGAACACCAGUGGCGAAGGCGGCUUACUGGACUGUAACUGACACUGAGGCACGAAAGCGUGGGGAGCAAACAGGAUUAGAUACCCUGGUAGUCCACGCCGUAAACGAUGA